CAGUAUGUAGUUUAGGUUAAAAUGUAAUAUUUGGGUUAUUAAGAUUGGGUACUGA
rnacentral:tRNA from 1 species